ACAUUUCCUUACACACGAAUAUAGCAAGAACGAACAAAAUUGCACAAGAAAAAGUUGAUUUGAAUGUCCCAAGUAGGCAUCAUCGACAUCUUCUCACCACUUUCCUAGCAAUAGAAAAAGAGACAAAACAAAAAACAUUAAACAGUCCAAUAACAAAUCGAUAAACAAGGACCUAGUUCAUGGGCACAAGGAACAGUAGACUUAGGACACAGUUAACGACAUCUAGUUUAUAGCAACCAUUGAAGAGACACGUAACAACAAGGUAAUGAAAGCAUCUACUGGACAUAACAACGAGCACGGCAAAUAU
rnacentral:lncRNA from 1 species